AUCCCGUGGUCCAGCGGCCAAGACGCCUGGAUGACACCCAGGAGAUCCUGGUUCGAAUCCAGGCCGGGAUA
rnacentral:tRNA from 1 species